AAAUGAAUGCUAUCUUGCUAAACCCCUUCCUUGCCCACUUCUCAGCAUUUCCUGCCUGAGUUGUUGACCGCCAGCGGCGGAGCAGAUCCAUCAAACGGGAUGACAGCGGUGUUGGUGCGGCUGUAGGACGGACGGCCGCCUAUAGGUGGAAUUGAAAUUGGGGAAGAAACUGAAUUUUAAUUUACCAUAUGGGCAAUGCGUUGGUCGUUGAUCGCUGAUCGCUUCCGCAGCGCCUCCGCCACGAAGCUCAUCGCCUACGGCGGCGGCGACACCCGUAUCUUCACGGGAAGGCACCUCACCGGUGACAUCAUGUUCGAGUUCGCCAACAUCAUGCAAAUUUGAAGAAGAUUGGGUAAGGACAAACGGAAGAUAACGAGAAAAAGGCUAUACCCUAAUUCAGAAGCAGAGGGUUAAGGGAUAGAUGACUAUAUGGAACCCUAAUCCAUCCGUGGAGGUGUGGCACUCUCUAUCUCAAGAGUUUCUUGUUUUGAAGUUUUGCUGAUUGAGGAGGAUUUGGUGGAGGAAGAUUUGAGGGAAAUUGAAAACCCUAGAACUUUUUUAUCAUUCAUUGCCAUGGAAGAAGACACCUAAACCAAAAAUCAUUUGAGAUGCACUUGAAAGACGAUAAAGUCCUGGCUGAGAAGCACAGGAAGAGAACGAGAAAGACUCCUGCACAGAUUCGAGCAUUGGAGAACUUUUAUUCGGAUACGGUAAAAGCAGAAAUUUCUGAGGCGACAGGCUUGACUGAGCAGCAAGUCUAUGGAUGGUUUUGUCACCGGAGGUUGAAAGACAAAAAGCUUUAUUUUAGCUCUGCAGCUGGAGGGCCGGAGCACUCAAGUGGAGUAGUGCAAGAUCAUGGCAGUGGGCAUAGGCCAGAUUCUUGCGGCAGUACAAAACUAGGAGGUUUUGAUACCAAGGAAGUCGAAAGUGGUAGGUAAUUCUUCCAAAACAAAAGAAGUAUAUACGGCACAUCAUCCGGGAGUAGUUUGUCAUUGAGGACCCUGCCUGGCAAUAAUAUAAUAAAGCCCACCUAUAUGGAAACUUCCGGGUACUUACCUCUGAAAUCUCCUCUGGAUAUGCCUGCUGCAAAACCUAGGUCAGGCCCUUCGGGUUAUUUAAAGAUGCUGAAGUGCCCGUCUGAAAAUCCUGUUGUAACUGCUGUCAAAAAACAGCUGGGAAGCCUCUAUACAGAGGAUGGUCCAACACUCGGUGUCGAUUUUGACAGUCCUCCUCCUGGUUCCUUCAAAUCAAAACAGGUUCAAGUUCAUGGAGAGAAGGCAUUUCAAUUGCUCCAGGUGGUAUUUUGAAUCUCCACCGGCAGCUCAAGUUUGGAAAGGCAA